GCACUAUCAACUAUCCUGUCUCUGCUGUGUGGUGCAGGGUUAGGGUUAUUAAGUGCUAGAGAAAGGCAAAGGAAAUCCAGAUGGAGCAUAUUGCACCUUGUGUUCUGUCUCUACACCUUUGCUACAAGG